ensembl:lncRNA
CCUGAACAGCCCAAAUUUUACAGUAAAUUAUACUUUUGAGUGAUUGUAUAUGUAAAAAUGUGUGUCAAAUUAAUAAAUGCACUGUAAAUGAAUGUUUCAUGACACACACUACGGCGAAAGAAUGUAAAUAAUAAAAUCCAUCUGAAAGCUGGAAAAUUUCGAUAUUGGCUCCAACAUGUUUGUCAUCACAUUCAGGCCUCUGACCCAAUGCCUCUCUCUCUUUCUCUUCCUCAAUCUCUCCUUUCUCUCUCUCUCUCUUCCUUUUGGCUGUCUCUGGAAUCUACAAGCAGCUGGGAAAUAAGUGCAAAACAAAAAGCCUUUACUCAUUCUGCAGAGGAACAAUCCAUCCAAGCCAGCAAUUAGAAAAAUCAACAAAACACAACGGGCAUACUUAGAAGAUGAUGUGUGAAGAGAAACACCCGCCUGAAGCCGAACUCUCAUUCAGUCGUGGCCAAAUAUGAUGGGUCGGAUGGUAAACACACGCUAGCCGAGAAGCCGGAGAAAGUAAAUAAUAAAAGAUGCAUCUGAGAAGUAUUACACGUUGAACCUUUUUGGGUUUUCUUUGCAUGUCGAUGUCUGCAUUUGCUAAACAGGUAGGCUAGGGCAUAAAUCUGGCUAGCAAACUCUUAUCUUGUUUUAGCCUGCAACUGAAAUUUGGAAUAGAGCGAUGCUUACCGAAUAUUAAUGUGGGAAAAUUCCCAAAGCUAAACCAAACCGCCUAUAAUGUUGAAAUAAGUCCUACAGCUACUUUAAUUAUAACCUACAGUGUUUUAAUAACAGACAAAAGUAGGACAUAGUUCAUUUAACACUGUGUUUGAUCUUUCACUAAUAUGAUUUAGCAGUGUAGGUGCUAAUUCAGCAAAGUGUGUGUGUGUGUGUGUGUGUGUGUGUGUGUGUGUGUGUGUGUGUGUGUGUGUGUGUGUUUAGCAUUAAGGAUUUGGCUAUGUAGAAGAAAUAUGAACUUCUCAGGUGUCUUCCAGAUUCACUUCAAGGUCUUCUUCGACAUAUAGGAGCUGACUGGAAAAAAUAAAUAAAUAAAAUAAACCCACAAACGGGUUCUGCUACUUUUAGUCAAAUUAUAUAAUUAGGCUGCAAUGUUUGCAAGACUGUCAAAUUUGGUGUCCCUGAAAAAAAAAAAAAAAAAAAAAUCCCAAUCCAAAACGGUGGUGUUAGGAUUGUAUAUCAUUUUUAUACAUACAAACAGAUAGCACAGUAUUAAAACCAAUUUUUUUUUUAAAACAUACACUCAACUUCUGUCAUAAAAAUUAAAACAGUUAACAGAUUUUUGUUUACCUCAUUAUCUUACCGUUUAGGUGAGUUUCGGACCGCACGUCCUUUCGAAUGAAACCGCAUUGAUUCCCACGAGCAAGUUUCCACUCUUAAGAACUCGUCAAAGUGAAGAUCACCUCAAGAAUUUCGAGAUAUAUGUAUACAUAUAUAAAGAUAUAUAUUUCUCUCUCUCUCUCUCUUUUACUCUUUAAAAUAUCCGUCCACGCCGUCGGUUCAUUUUGACGAAAUUUCCGUUAGAUUCCGUUAAUAAUCCGAGUUUAAACUUUUUAAAUCCCUCAGAUCGGACAGCUCGUGAGACAUCUCGCGCCGCACGCCUCGCGCAGUCCGUGCGCGCGCGCGACGCUAACGGCUCGCCCAGCGAUAGCUCAGCACAGCAAUGCUACCACUUGUAGCAACUUCUCGAAGCUUUUUUUAACAAGUAAAUCCGUCCAGACCUUAACUACGAACGGAAAUCUGACUGAAAACAACCCAUUUCAGAUUAAACUAUGAGGAAAUGAUUUCUCUCAGGACGCGCCAAAAGAGUCUCCCACGGACGGAGUCUCGUGUCCGUACGGAAAGAUGAGGGAUUUGUGAAGCUUUCGUACUGUAUAUAGCAGGACAAGACAGGACCCAGAAAGGGGGCUGGUUUCAAGAGGAGGGGGGGAUGAAAAAAAGAAGACGACAAGAAAUGCAUGAGAGGGAAAACGGAGGAACAACAUCUGCUGCCUUGCCGAUAGUUAAAUGUGACGUCUGUGUGGUACGAAUGACUCGAACCCGAAGACUCAAGAGGUGAACUAGUCCUUUCUGUUUCCGGGGAACGGACGUGACAAAAGGAAGAACGACUCGGAUCUGGAGGAUUUGGAUGCACAAAGUAUGAAACUGAAUCCAUCCAUUUUCACAGGCUCAAAAGUAAUUGGACAAUUGACUGAUAAGCAGUUUUAUGUUUCCCUCCUGUUAUUUCGUGACAAAUUAAUGAGAUAAAAGGUCUUGAGUUGUUUCCAAGCAUUGGACUUGGUAUCUUCAUGAAAACAUGUUGAAACUUCAUGAGAACUUUCAACAUGCGGUCCAAAGAGGUGUUGAUGGAAGUGAAGGAGGCCAUCAUUAGGCUGAAAAAAAAAACAAAACAGACAGAGAGACAGGAGAAACUUAUUAUUAAGUCUGAGAUCACAAGCUCAUCAUCCAAAAUGCAGAUUAAUUGAAAAUGAUAUGAGAAAUGAAUUAAUUGAAAGAAUGAGAAACUUUUUUCGAAGGUCAUCUCCCAACAUAGGACAGCAAAUCCCUUUGGACAAGACUAAGACCAAUCUGGAUUUCAAAGCUAGGGUUUUCAUCUUAAAAACUGCGGACCCCUUGCUCGUCACGGUUUGUUGAUUUUACCUGCUCCCAAGGCACCCAAUCUUACUGACAGAGAAGACAAUUACUUGGAAAGAGGAGUAAAGGACGAUGACUACAUCAAGCUGGAGCAAGCAUCCCUGAAUAGAGAGGGAGGAUCAGACCACCACUUAUCUGUUUACAAGGAAGUCCUAACGUAUAUUUACUCUGGCUUGUUUAUCACACCUGCAGACAGUCAUGUGAUUUUAAGUUUAAUGACAACCUUAGUCACCUACCAAGGAUUAAACAUCAAUGCAUUUUCCCAGCAUUCAGUAUAAUGUAUUCAGAAUAACCGUUAUUUUUGGUUUUUAAUACAUUUUAUGUACACUCCAGACAGCUCUGAAUUUACCUAUUAAACUAUAGCCCAUGCCCGCACAUCUUUUCACCCUCUCACACACUUCUCUGAAUUAUACCCAUGUCUCCCCCCCGCCCUUUUUUUUCCUUUUCCUGACUAUUACAG